rnacentral:misc_RNA from 1 species
AACGCACAUUGCGCCCGCCAGCACUCUGGCGGGCAUGCCUGUCCGAGCGUCAUCUCCACCCGUCAAGCCCGGCUUGUGUUGGGGCUCUGCGGCCGCCGCAGGCCCUCAAAGACAGUGGCGGGGCCGCCGCGGCCCCGAGCGCAGUAGCGCGAGCCUCGCUCCGGAGCGCGCGGCGCGCGCCCGCCUCGCCCCAGUCCAACGACCAACGACGCCCGCCACCGAGCGGUUGACCUCGGAUCAGGUAGGAAUACCCGCUGAACUUAA